CCUACGGGAGGCAGCAGUGAGGAAUAUUGGUCAAUGGGCGCGAGCCUGAACCAGCCAAGUAGCGUGAAGGAUGACUGCCCUACGGGUUGUAAACUUCUUUUAUAAAGGAAUAAAGUGAGGCACGUGUGCCUUUUUGUAUGUAUUCUAUGAAUAAGGAACGGCUAACUCCGUGCCCGCAGCCGCGGUAAUACGGAGGAUCCGAGCGUUAUCCGGGUUUAGUGGGUUUAAAGGGGGCGUAGAUGGGUUGUUAAGGCAAUUGUGAAAGUUUGCGGCUCAACCGUCAAAUUGCAAUUGAUACUGGCAGCCUUGAGUACAGUUGAGGUAGGCGGAAUUCGUGGUGUAGCGGUGAAAUGCUUAGAUAUCACGAAGAACUCCGAUUGCGAAGGCAGCCUACUAACCUGCCACUGACAUUGAUGCUCGAAAGUGUGGGUAUCAAACAGGAUUAGAUACCCCUGUAGUC
rnacentral:rRNA from 1 species